rnacentral:rRNA from 1 species
GACGAACGCUGGCGGCGUGCUUAACACAUGCAAGUCGAACGGAAAGGCCCUGCUUUUGUGGGGUGCUCGAGUGGCGAACGGGUGAGUAACACGUGAGUAACCUGCCCUUGACUUUGGGAUAACUUCAGGAAACUGGGGCUAAUACCGGAUAGGAGCUCCUGCUGCAUGGUGGGGGUUGGAAAGUUUCGGCGGUUGGGGAUGGACUCGCGGCUUAUCAGCUUGUUGGUGGGGCAGUGGCUUACCAAGGCUUUGACGGGUAGCCGGCCUGAGAGGGUGACCGGCGACAAUGGGACUGAGAGACGGCCCAGACUGCUACGGGAGGCAGCAGGGGGGAGUAUUGCACAAUGGGCGGAAGCGUGAUGCAGAAGCGCCGCGUGCGGGAUGACGGCCUUCGGGUUGUGAACCGCUGUCGCCUGUGACGAAGCGUGAGUGACGGUAAUGGGUAAAGAAGCACCGGCUAACUACGUG